AACAAACGCUGGCGGCGUGCCUAAUACAUGCAAGUCGAACGGGGAAAGCUUUCGGGUGAGUACUAGUGGCGCACGGGUGAGUAACGCGUGGAUAAUCUGCCCUCGAAUGGGGAAUAACUAGUUGAAAGAUUAGCUAAUACCGCAUAAGACCACGACUACUGAGGUAGUUGGGGUCAAAGGAGCAAUUCGUUUGAGGAUGAGUCCGCGUAAGAUUAGCUAGUUGGUGAGGUAAUGGCUCACCAAGGCGAUGAUCUUUAACUGGUCUGAGAGGAUGAUCAGUCACACUGGAACUGGGACACGGUCCAGACUCCUACGGGAGGCAGCAGUAGGGAAUAUUGGACAAUGGGGGCAACCCUGAUCCAGCGACGCCGCGUGAGCGAUGAAGGCCUUCGGGUCGUAAAGCUCUGUUGUAAGGGAAAAAGUUCUGAUUGUACCUUACGAGAAAGGAUCGGCUAACUUCGUGCCAGCCGCCGCAGUAA
rnacentral:rRNA from 1 species